GGGUUGUGAGGUUAAGCGACUAAGCGUACACGGUGGAUGCCCUGGCAGUCAGAGGCGAUGAAGGGCGUACUAAUCUGCGAUAAGCGCCGGUAAGGUGAUAUGAACCGUUAUAACCGGCGAUACCCGAAUGGGGAAACCCAGUGUGAUUCGUCACACUAUCAUUAACUGAAUCCAUAGGUUAAUGAGGCGAACCGGGGGAACUGAAACAUCUAAGUACCCCGAGGAAAAGAAAUCAACCGAGAUUCCCCCAGUAGCGGCGAGCGAACGGGGAGGAGCCCAGAGCCUGAAUCAGCAUGUGUGUUAGUGGAAGCGUCUGGAAAGGCGCGCGAUACAGGGUGACAGCCCCGUACACAAAAGCGCAUGUGCUGUGAGCUCGAUGAGUAGGGCGGGACACGUGGUAUCCUGUCUGAAUAUGGGGGGACCAUCCUCCAAGGCUAAAUACUCCUGACUGACCGAUAGUGAACCAGUACCGUGAGGGAAAGGCGAAAAGAACCCCGGCGAGGGGAGUGAAAAAGAACCUGAAACCGUGUACGUACAAGCAGUGGGAGCACCCUUUGGGUGUGACUGCGUACCUUUUGUAUAAUGGGUCAGCGACUUAUAUUCUGUAGCAAGGUUAACCGAAUAGGGGAGCCGGAGGGAAACCGAGUCUUAACCGGGCGUUAAGUUGCAGGGUAUAGACCCGAAACCCGGUGAUCUAGCCAUGGGCAGGUUGAAGGUUGGGUAACACUAACUGGAGGACCGAACCGACUAAUGUUGAAAAAUUAGCGGAUGACCUGUGGCUGGGGGUGAAAGGCCAAUCAAACCGGGAGAUAGCUGGUUCUCCCCGAAAGCUAUUUAGGUAGCGCCUCGUGAAUUCAUCUCCGGGGGUAGAGCACUGUUUCGGCUAGGGGGCCAUCCCGGCUUACCAACCCGAUGCAAACUGCGAAUACCGGAGAAUGUUAUCACGGGAGACACACGGCGGGUGCUAACGUCCGUCGUGAAGAGGGAAACAACCCAGACCGCCAGCUAAGGUCCCAAAGUCAUGGUUAAGUGGGAAACGAUGUGGGAAGGCCCAGACAGCCAGGAUGUUGGCUUAGAAGCAGCCAUCAUUUAAAGAAAGCGUAAUAGCUCACUGGUCGAGUCGGCCUGCGCGGAAGAUGUAACGGGGCUAAACCAUGCACCGAAGCUGCGGCAGCGACACUGUGUGUUGUUGGGUAGGGGAGCGUUCUGUAAGCCUGUGAAGGUGUGUCGUGAGGCAUGCUGGAGGUAUCAGAAGUGCGAAUGCUGACAUAAGUAACGAUAAAGCGGGUGAAAAGCCCGCUCGCCGGAAGACCAAGGGUUCCUGUCCAACGUUAAUCGGGGCAGGGUGAGUCGACCCCUAAGGCGAGGCCGAAAGGCGUAGUCGAUGGGAAACGGGUUAAUAUUCCCGUACUUGGUGUUACUGCGAAGGGGGGACGGAGAAGGCUAUGUUGGCCGGGCGACGGUUGUCCCGGUUUAAGCGUGUAGGUGUGUGUUCCAGGUAAAUCCGGUUCACUUUAACACUGAGGCGUGACGACGAGGCACUACGGUGCUGAAGCAACAAAUGCCCUGCUUCCAGGAAAAGCCUCUAAGCAUCAGGUAACAUCAAAUCGUACCCCAAACCGACACAGGUGGUCAGGUAGAGAAUACCAAGGCGCUUGAGAGAACUCGGGUGAAGGAACUAGGCAAAAUGGUGCCGUAACUUCGGGAGAAGGCACGCUGACACGUAGGUGAAGUGAUUUACUCAUGGAGCUGAAGUCAGUCGAAGAUACCAGCUGGCUGCAACUGUUUAUUAAAAACACAGCACUGUGCAAACACGAAAGUGGACGUAUACGGUGUGACGCCUGCCCGGUGCCGGAAGGUUAAUUGAUGGGGUCAGCGCAAGCGAAGCUCCUGAUCGAAGCCCCGGUAAACGGCGGCCGUAACUAUAACGGUCCUAAGGUAGCGAAAUUCCUUGUCGGGUAAGUUCCGACCUGCACGAAUGGCGUAAUGAUGGCCAGGCUGUCUCCACCCGAGACUCAGUGAAAUUGAACUCGCUGUGAAGAUGCAGUGUACCCGCGGCAAGACGGAAAGACCCCGUGAACCUUUACUAUAGCUUGACACUGAACAUUGAGCCUUGAUGUGUAGGAUAGGUGGGAGGCUUUGAAGUGUGGACGCCAGUCUGCAUGGAGCCGACCUUGAAAUACCACCCUUUAAUGUUUGAUGUUCUAACGUGGACCCGUUACCCGGGUUGCGGACAGUGUCUGGUGGGUAGUUUGACUGGGGCGGUCUCCUCCUAAAGAGUAACGGAGGAGCACGAAGGUUGGCUAAUCCUGGUCGGACAUCAGGAGGUUAGUGCAAUGGCAUAAGCCAGCUUGACUGCGAGCGUGACGGCGCGAGCAGGUGCGAAAGCAGGUCAUAGUGAUCCGGUGGUUCUGAAUGGAAGGGCCAUCGCUCAACGGAUAAAAGGUACUCCGGGGAUAACAGGCUGAUACCGCCCAAGAGUUCAUAUCGACGGCGGUGUUUGGCACCUCGAUGUCGGCUCAUCACAUCCUGGGGCUGAAGUAGGUCCCAAGGGUAUGGCUGUUCGCCAUUUAAAGUGGUACGCGAGCUGGGUUUAGAACGUCGUGAGACAGUUCGGUCCCUAUCUGCCGUGGGCGCUGGAGAACUGAGGGGGGCUGCUCCUAGUACGAGAGGACCGGAGUGGACGCAUCACUGGUGUUCGGGUUGUCAUGCCAAUGGCACUGCCCGGUAGCUAAAUGCGGAAGAGAUAAGUGCUGAAAGCAUCUAAGCACGAAACUUGCCCCGAGAUGAGUUCUCCCUGAGACUUAAAGU
rnacentral:rRNA from 1 species